rnacentral:rRNA from 1 species
AUGAGCUUCGCUCAGGAGCAUAGCUCAUACCAAAACAAUUACUCACAUGGGUGGCCUGAAAACCCAAAUAUGUCAUAUAGGAGCAACAACCCUGAGAUCUCACUGUUUGCCUCUAGUUAUCCAAUACAGGGAGUUAGGUAUGAAGAGGAGAGCAACAACUAUGCACCACAACAAUUUUAUUCACCUCCUACUCAUAUACCUCAACACCAGGAGAUGUGUCCAAUGGAGUUAAAUGGUCCUCCACUUGGUUAA